rnacentral:rRNA from 1 species
UCCGUAGGUGGCAAGCGUUGUCCGGAUUUACUGGGCGUAAAGAGCGCGCAGGCGGUCGUUCAAGUCGCGUGUGAAAGCCCCCGGCUCAACUGGGGAGGGUCACGCGAUACUGAUCGACUCGAAGGCAGGAGAGGGAAGUGGAAUUCCCGGUGUAGUGGUGAAAUGCGUAGAUAUCGGGAGGAACACCAGUGGCGAAGGCGACUUCCUGGCCUGUUCUUGACGCUGAGGCGCGAAAGCUGGGGGAGCAAACGGG